UGAUAUCCUAACAUAAUGACAUCCUAAGAUACUGAUAUUCUAAGAUAUUGAUAUCCUAAGAUACUGAUAUCCUAAGAUAUUGAUAUCCUAAGAAAACUGAUAUCCUAAGAUACUGAUAUCCAGGGGCGGCGGAACAGGGGGGCUAGGGGGGGCUAAAGCCCCCCCAGAAGUAAAAGUGGGGGGGCUUAGCCCCCCCAGAAAAUUUGAAUUUUUUUAAAAAAUUUUGAUAAUUAGGGAAAAAUUAGGUUAUUUUUUGAAAAUUUGGGUAUAAGGGGACAAAUUUGCAAUAUUUUGUUUGAAAAAGACCUAUUUUCGGAAAAAUUUUUUGAUAUUUUUUUGGCGACUGGGGGGGGAGGUCGCCGAAAAAAUUUAGCCCCCCCAGAACGAAAUCUGUUUCGCCGCCCCUG
rnacentral:lncRNA from 1 species